GCAGUGGCUCAAUGGCAGAGUACAUGCCUAGCAUGAACCCGUGAGUUCAAAUCCCAUACUGCA
rnacentral:tRNA from 1 species